GACGAACGCUGGCGGCGUGCUUAACACAUGCAAGUCGAACGGAAAGGCCCUGCUUUUGUGGGGUGCUCGAUUGGCGCACGGGUGAGUAACACGUGAGUAUCCUGCCCUUGUCUUUGGGAUAUCUUCAGGAAACUGCGGCUCAUAUCGGAUAGGAGCUCCUGCUGCAUGUUGGUGGUUGGAAAGUUUCGGCGGUUGGGGAUGGACUGGCGGCUUAUCAGCUUGUUGGUGGGGUAGUGGCUUACGAAGGCUUCGACGGGUAGCCGGCCUGAGAGGGGGACCGGGGACAAGGGGACUAAGAGACGGCGCAGACGCCUACGUGAGGCAGCGGUGGGGAAUAUGGCACAAUAGGCGGAAGCGUGAUGCAGCAACGCCGCGUGCGGGAUGACGGCCUUCGAGUGGUAAACCGCUUUGGACUGUGACGAAGCGUGAGUGACGGUAAUGGGUAAAGAAGCACCGGCUAACUACGUG
rnacentral:rRNA from 1 species